AACACAGAGCCCAAAGCCUUGGAGAACACUCUGUUCUAACCCCAGCUGCUCUGUCCAUCUGCUUUGUCUCAUUAGCAGACAGGGCCUAGUGAGACAGGAGCUGCAGCUCUCCAGAGAAGGGCCCCAGCCCUGGAUUUUUUCCUGGGUGAGAGGGAAUCUUGCGCCAUUUUUAGGGCCUGCAACCAACUCUGCUUUCCCGAACCUGCGUCUUGGGGCCGGCAGCAGGCUGCUUUCCACACCGCAGAUCACCUGCAGGCACUAGGAGUCACACUGCCACCUUCCCAGCCUGGGUGGCCUCCUGGGAUGUUUUCCUUGGCAGAAGUAUCUUACAGCUGGGCUGAUUAUUAAUACAAGAACUUAUAGAUGUACUGUUGCAGCAAGUGUCACAGCCGGUGGUGCCGCGGACAAACCGAGCAUCACACGGAGAGUCGGAGAAUCGAAGUUCAUUUGCUGGCAGGCUCAGAAUUCUGAGCCCAUCUACCCAAUUUUUCCCAUUUUUAUUAAGUUGGGGUGGUCCAGGGGUGGGGUACCAGGUGUAGGUUAGUUGAUGUGUCAGGUACCAGGUUGAUAUUGUGUUGAUGCACCAGGCAACAGAUUCAGUGUCAUGCCGAUGCCGGCCAAUAGACUCGCUGAUGGGCCAGGAAACAGGUUAGUGUUAUGCUGAUGUGGGCCUGGUGCACCAAGUAAUAGAUAGGGGUUCCCUUAUGAGUAUCAUUGCAAACUUUGGGGGGGGGCAGAGGUGCUUAAAACAGCAAAGCUCCAAUCCUCCGCCCCAAGGAUCUUCGUGUUGGCAUCCAGGCUGAGAGGUGCCUGGAUCUCCGCCUCAUGGUACAGGAAGAAGAGCAGGGAUGGACUUCAAGCUUCUGCUUGGAGGAGACAUGUCACUUCAAAAAAGGUUUUUUCACCACCGGUCACCCAGACCCAAUGUAAUGCCAAGUAUAUUAAGUUUUUGUUAGAUUUUAUUUCAGCAGCUGAUUUCUGUAUUUGUCAGAUUUUCUAGGUUAUACUGCGGUGAACCUCCCUCCCCCUAGUCUCAGUGGAUGACAAGAAAAAAGCUCUAAUUCUUGGUACGUGCUAUGCUGUGAUGAUUUGCCAGCUUUGGGCCCAAGGCAGCUCUUAGCUUGUAACCCUGCCCGUGUGUCUUCUUCCUCCUGGCUGGAGGAGUAGCCUUUGGGCUCUUGGUGGAGGGCAAAGCACCUCAAACUUGCUUUUAUAUAUUUUUUGGAAUAGAACUCCUUGCCCAAAAUGUGUUAGGACACAGUUCUCUUCUCCCUCUGUCCUUAUGAGAUCCCCAUCCUGAAGCCUUGGCCCACAGCAGGCCAGGCUAAUGGGAAAGGCUAUCUGACAAAAUGUGAAAAGAUUUAGAGCUUU